AACCAACAAUUCCAGGUUUGUUUACUGUUGCACAAACUGUAAGAGCUGGUUUGCAAUCAUCCAAUAUUAAAUCAAUAAUGCUAGGUUUAUUUAGUGUUGCACAGGAUUAAGACAACAGUCCCAGGUUUGUUUAGUUCAGUACAAGAUGGAAGAUCUGUUUUGCAAUAAACCAGGAUUGAACCAACAAUUCCAGGUUUGUUUACUGUUGCACAAAAUGGAAGAUCUAGUUUGCAAUAAACCAGGAUUAAACCAACAAUCCGAGGUUUGCUUAGUGUUGCACUAAUUAGAAGAGUCAAGUAGAUGCAACUUGCUUGCAAUAAGCCAGGAUUAAACCAACAAUCUGAGGUUUAUUUAGUGUUGCACAAGAUGUUAGAGCUGGUUUGCAAUAAACCAGGAUUAAACCAACAAUUCCAGGUUUAUUUAGUGUUGCAAUAGUUGGAAGAGACAAGUAGACACAACAUGUUUGCAAUAAACCAGGAGUAAAUCUACAAUCCUAGGUUUAUUUAGUGUUGCACAAAAUGGAAGAACUGGUUUGCACUAAACCAGGAUUAAACCAAAAAUGCCAGGUUUAUUUAGUGUUGCAUAAACUGGCAGAGCUGGUUUGCAAAAAACUGGAAUUAAACCAACAAUCCCAGGUUUAUUUAGUGUUGUGCUAAUUAGAAGAGACAAGUAGACACAACAUGUUUGCAAUAAACCAGGAUUAAACCAACAAUGCCAGGUUUAUUUAGUGUUGCACAAG